AGAACGAACGCUGGCGGCAGGCUUAACACAUGCAAGUCGAGCGCCCCGCGAGGGGAGCGGCAGACGGGUGAGUAACGCGUGGGAACAUACCCUUCGGUUCGGAAUAGCUCAGGGAAACUUGGAUUAAUACCGGAUACGUCCAGAGUUUAACGACUUUGGAGAAAGAUUCAUCGCCGAAGGAUUGGCCCGCGUCUGAUUAGCUAGCUGGUGGGGUAACGGCUCACCAAGACGACGAUCAGUAGCUGGUCUGAGAGGAUGAUCAGCCACAUUGGGACUGAGACACGGCCCAAACUCCUACGGGAGGCAGCAGUGGGGAAUAUUGGACAAUGGGCGCAAGCCUGAUCCAGCCAUGCCGCGUGAGUGAUGACGGCCUUAGGGUUGUAAAGCUCUUUCGCCAGGGACGAUAAUGACGGUACCUGGAUAAGAAGCCCCGGCUAACUUCGUGCCAGCAGCCGCGGUAAUACGAAGGGGGCUAGCGUUGUUCGGAAUUACUGGGCGUAAAGCGCGUGUAGGCGGGCUUUUAAGUCAGGGGUGAAAUGCCGAGGCUCAACCUCGGAAUGGCCUUUGAUACUGGAAGUCUUGAGUCCGGGAGAGGUGAGUGGAACUGCGAGUGUAGAGGUGAAAUUCGUAGAUAUUCGCAAGAACACCAGUGGCGAAGGCGGCGAGCUGGAUCACUACUGACGCUGAGGAACGAAAGCUAGGGGAGCAAACAGGAUUAGAUACCCUGGUAGUCCUAGCCCUAAACGAUC
rnacentral:rRNA from 1 species